UACCAGCACCCCGAGUGGUCGGGACGUUUAUUGGGCCUAAAGCAUCCGUAGCCGGUUCUGCAAGUCUUCCGUUAAAUCCACCUGCUUAACAGAUGGGCCGCGGAAGAUACUAUAGAGCUAGGAGGCGGGAGAGGCAAGCGGUACUCGAUGGGUAGGGGUAAAAUUCGUAGAUAUUCGGAAGAACACCAGUGGCGAAGGCGGCUCACUGGACCGGCAUUGACGCUGAGGUGCGAAAGCGUGGGGAGCAAACAGG
rnacentral:rRNA from 1 species